rnacentral:lncRNA from 1 species
ACGUCGGCAGGCGCCACCAGCAACAUCCCCGCCCUCCUCAUCAAGGGCUACCCGCAGCGCACCAUCUUCGAGAACCUUUACGACGCCGGCCUCUCCUUCGGGAUUUACUUCCAGAACAUCCCCGCCACGCUCUUCUACCGCAACCUCCGGAAGCUCAAGUACCUCACCAAGUUCCACCCGUACGGCCUCUCCUUUAAGAAUGACGCCAGGCGGGGGAAACUCCCGAACUACACCGUCGUGGAGCAGCGCUUCAUGGACACCAAGCUGGCGCCCGCCAACGACGACCACCCGUCGCACGACGUGUACCAGGGGCAGAUGUUCGUGAAGGAGGUGUACGAGACGCUCAGGGCGAGCCCGCAGUGGAACCAGACGCUGCUACUGAUCACGUACGACGAGCACGGCGGGUACUUCGAUCAUGUUCCCACGCCGGUCCGCGGGGUCCCCAGCCCGGACGGCAUCGUGGGGCCCGAGCCCUUCAACUUCACGUUCAACCGGCUGGGUGUGAGGGUCCCCACCAUUGCAAUUUCGCCUUGGAUCGAAAAGGGCACCGGUGCGUUUUCCUAUCACUCUCCCAUUAACUUAGAAGCGUGGUGGAACGUGAAUCAGCUUAUCAUAAUGCGUGUGGACGGUAAUUUCCAAGCAACUAGUCCUGUGAGCGUCCAAUCACAGAUCGCGGAGGAAAAAAAAUACUUAAUCACAAAAGAAUGGCGUGCAAGUCACGCAAGCUUUUUCCUUUUGGUUUUUGCUCUGGAAAAAGACAUAGUGAGCUGAUGGUACUUCGACUCUGGUUGAUGAACUCUCCUCCUCUUUUUCCAGCCUUUUCUUUCUCUGUCCAAUUGCUCAACUUGCGAAAGUAAUGCUCAUCAUUGAAGUUUUGUCACAUUUCCUCUGUUGACAAAUCAUUGGAAUGUGAACAGAACCUGGGUUUCCUCUCAUGAAAGAGAUUUCCCUUCCUGAAGUGAACUUUAUAAAAUAGUGGGUGGUCCUUUGACUGCCUUCGAAAAUCACCAGUGUCAUUCGCUUAGGCCAUUUGGAUGACUCUGUCAUCUAUACCCCACAGUUUGAUAAUGAUAAAAGAGCUUUGUCGACCGAAUAACGAAAGUUUUUCGUUCUUCUGUACAAUGUUGUUCAUGCUCUCAUGACGACAAAAAAUUGCAGUUGUCCAUGGGCCCAACGGGUCGCCCUCUCCGACGUCCGAGUACGAGCACUCCUCAAUCCCUGCAACAGUCAAGAGGCUUUUCAACCUCAGCGCGCCUUUCCUCACUAAGCGAGAUGCAUGGGCUGGCACAUUCGAGGGCAUCGUGCAAACACGCACUCAACCAAGAACUGAUUGUCCAGGUUUGGUGACAGAUGCACUGAUUAUUUCCACACAGUCAGAACAUAGAUGAAGUCAUGUAUAUGUUAAAAGCACAAUAGUGAUCAUUCCUCAAUGCGAAAGCACAGAAUUUCGCAAACAACAUCAUAAGUUCAUAACUAGUAUUUGAUGAGCCUUCAAGUAAACACAUAAUUUGUAAUUUAUCAUGCCGACAGAGAAACUCCCGACUCCAGUCAAGAUCAGGAAAGGCGAGGCUAAGGAAGACGCCAAGCUAAGCGAAUUCCAGCAGGAGCUCAUGCAGCUCGCAGCGGUGCUGAAGGGCGAACACAUUUUCUCAAAUAACCUGGAGAGUUUCGGGAAGGAGAUGACCGUCAAAGAAGGGAAGGAGUACAUGGAGGAUGCAGUCAAGAGCUUCUUUGAGGCGGGUCUUUAUGCCAAGAAAAUGGGUGUUGAUGAAGAGCAGAUUGUGAAGAUGAGGCCUUCACUCACCACAAGGCCAUCAUCAAAACCCUAAAACAUACACUCCCCAACAUACAGAUGCUGUACAUGAGCAGAGCAUAAAUGUUUGAGCAUUGUAAGAAACAGAAACUUAAUAAAAUCUAAAGCUCUCCUGCAACGAAAAGGUGAGCAACAAACGAAGGUGACUAUUGUUUGCAAGUUUUCUUGCUUCAUCACAAUUGCACAGGUGAUAGCACAAGCUUCACAUGCUGUAUGUCCAAAUGUUCAUUAGUUCAUCAUAGGGAAAUUGACACAAAUGGCUCAUGAAUUUUGACCUAAUGUGCAAUGUGGUUCCUAAACUUUAGCUCAAUAUUAAUGUAGUCCUUAAACUUUUAAUUUGUUCAAUAUGAUCCAUAGACUUUUAAUACAUGUUUAAUUUAAUCUUUGUACUAUGUGCAAUUCUGUAAUGAUUUUCACAUGACAGGUUAGCUUCUGUUUAGUGUUUCCCAUUGGGGAAUAUUAGCAGUGGCCUGAUUCACCAUCUUCACCAAUCAAACUUGCUAGAAAAUUAAACAAGGAAAAAAAUUGAGAGUGUCACCUUCCCAUCCAGCUCUUGUAAAAAGUGGGAUAUAGACCUCAAUGCACACAAGUUUAAUAUCUUAGGAUAGAUGGCACAAAUGAUCCAUGAACUUUGGCUCAAUAUAUAAUGUGAUCUUAGAAAUUGAAAUUUGUUCAAUAUAAUCCUCGAACUUUUCUAAUUAUGGCACUCCUAAAGCCAAGGCUAGUAUAUGUAUAGUACCGAAACAAAUCAUCAUUCCCAACUCAAGACCGUAUUUCCAUACCUCGAUGCUCACCCUCAUGCCCAAUCACCCUUCCAUCAAAGGAGCCGUAACACAUUUUUCGCUUGGCAAGUGCGUUAAUUAUGAAAUUUCUCCUCCUUGUUAAAGAUUCAAUAGUGUUGAUCCACAAGCACAUCCAAUGAAGUUCAUCUUUUCUCAAAAAUUUAAAACCAAUUGAGUUAUGAAUAAUCAAUUACAAUGUAUUAACUGCUUCAAAUCACAUCAAAUUCAUCGAGCCUCAACAAUUCCUACUCUUGAAUUGCAGUUGUCCCACUCUUGAGGAGCUCAGCAUAUUCCAAGUUCGGUAAAGCUUAAGAUGACCCAAAGCUUGUCCGGAAGAAACUGUGCUGUCAUCAACCCUUUCUCUAUCCUUUCAACUUUAAACUUUUCUGCUCGGCUGUAACUAAAACCGAUGGCAGAAGAAGACCAGACCUUAACCCGUAAUUUGGCACAUAAAAUUUGUCACAUCUAGGGGAGUUUUCCCGAUAUUCGCUCCGUCUCGGCCAUUAGGUGAACAUACACUGCGUUUGGCCGGAACCGGAACGAGUUCACAUGAUCCGAGUACAUGAUUUUCAAUAUCUGCUCUCUUGGCGAUCUGGUGUGGUUGAAAAAGAAGUCAAAACUUGUCCAUUAAACUAACAUUAACACGGUCUCAAAUUAUUGCAUCCCAUCAAGAGAUUUCAUUACGUCGCGCAACCUAUUCACACUCUUCUCCCAAACUGUCUCCCCUGUCACCCGCAUUUUCUCAGCCUCCCGAAGCAGCUCACGGAGCUCCACUCACUCUCUCCCCAACUUCCAAUCUGAAAAAGAAUUCCCUUCUUUUGUUUCGAGAAUGUCUAACGGGAAGAAAAGCAACUCGCUUUCUCCGACCGCCGCCUACUUUCCUCCUCGCUCUCCUCCUCACCGCCACUGCCGUCUCCUUCUCCGCCCAUGCAGCGACGACCCAGAGCCCCAUCCGGACGGUGGUCGUCUUGGUGAUGGAGAACCGGUCCUUCGACCACAUGCUGGGGUGGAUGAAGCGCCUCAACCCGGCAAUCAACGGCGUCAACGGCUCCGAAUCCAACCUGCUCGCCACCUCCGACCCCAAGUCCCCCCGGUUCUACUUCGACGACCGCUCCCACUACGUGGACCCGGACCCAGGCCACUCCUUCCAGGCGAGCCGGGAGCAGAUAUUCGGGUAUGACGACACGUCGGUGGACCCGCCCCCGAUGGACGGGUUCGCCCAGCAGGCCUACUCGAUGGACCCGUCCAUGAACAUGUCUAGGGACGUCAUGAGCGGGUUCAACCCGGACAUGGUCGCCGUCUACAAGGCCCUCGUCUCAGAGUUCGCCGUCUUUGACAGGUGUUCUCCUCAAUCCUUCGCUCUCAUUCUCUUGUUUUUUCUUCCAAUCUUUCCGAUAUCAAACAAUAAUGCAGACCCUCUUGUAAAAUAUUGCGUUGCGAAUAUAUAAUAGAGAAGAGAUUGAGAAGAGAAAGCAAGUGAACACCAAAAAUAGCAAAGAAAGCCAAACGAGAAAGUUUUAUUUUCAGUAUCUCACAGUUGUUCUGUAUUGUUCUUUUUGUACAUCAAAACUAAACUCAUAUUUAUAUGAGAACAAAAAUGUACUUAGUACCGAAUGAUAGGAUAGAAAAUAUGAACGUUCAUUAUAUAGAGAGAUGUACUUAGAAUGUAUGAUACAGGUGCAUUAAAUAAUAUGAAUAUAAUAAAUAUUCAUUUAUGUGUUUCAUAAUAGACCCUAAAUAAUUGGAAAAUUUAUACUCGUUUCAUAUGUACCGAUUUAGUAGGUAGAUUCCAUUUAUCUCACGAAAAAUAUUUUUUAAAAUAAAAUUUUUCUCAUUUUCUAAAAUUUAGUUUGCUUGAGAAAAUAAGUAAAGGAAGCUUAAAUUUAGGAAAAUGAUUUUUUUUUUGAAAAAUCAAAAAAAAAAAAAUCCAAAAUAUGGCUAGAUAUCGGUAUUUAAAUCCUCAACUCGACAUUUAGGCACGAAAAACCCAAUGUUAGUUCUUGAAUCCCAACAUUCCAGACCAAGUCACUAGCAGUCAAGCGAGGGUCCAUCAGGGUGAGGCCCCUAGUGCUCGUACCUACACCCAACCCGAGUCCAAAAAGGCCAUGCUCAAGUUCCUGACACUCAAGCUCUAGUCCCGAGUCCACAAACACCAUGUGCAGGUCGUCGAUGCUUGGGUUUGAGUCAUUGGUUAAUAAGAUGUACAUUCUUAUUAAAAAAAAAGUUAAAAAGCAUUUUUUAUUAUUAUUAAUUUUUAAUUUUUAAUUUAUUCUUUCUUUUUCUUUUCUUUUUGCUUCUUCCUUGGUCAAUCACCAAUCACAGUGAUGUUCGAUGACUAGCCACAAGCAAGCUCAAGCCUCACUAGCUUCGAGCAAGGCUACUCCUCUUGUACGUGUAACCUAUCCUCGAAAAAUUUGUUCAUAUCUCCAUGGCCAGAUAUGAGCUCAUGAGCUGAUCGGAAGAGGAACUGGAGCUUUGUGAUGGAGCUGUGACUUUGCUUUCUUUUCCUCCUUCGUUCAUUUCCUGAAAUUGUUGGCUACAUCAGCCUUGACAAGUGGGCUGGCAAGACUUGAGCUCGCCUGUGGCCGAUCGCUAGCCAUCACCGUGGCCAGCAACCAACCAAAAAAGAAGCAAAAAGAAAAAGAAAGAAAAAAAUAAAAAUAACUAAAAUAUAAUUUUUUAUGAUAAUUUUCCCCAACAAAUGGUGAAAAUAUUUUCUUGUGUAUUUUGAAGUUCUGGCCAAAUAUGAAAAGAUAAUAUUAUUUUUCUUGAAAAUGACUUCUUAUAGUAUAUUUUUCAAAAAACAAAUGAAGUCAAGGUCGCAUUUUAAUUUAUUUCGUAAUUGUUAUAUUGAAAACUUAAACUUAGACAGAGAGAGAGAGAGAGGAUAUUCUUGGUUUGAUGCGCGACCAUAAUGUUGAAGUUGCAGCUACUAUUAAUAUUAAAGUGAUAGAAUGAGAUGGUCACCAAUAAUGUCUGACAAUAAUUCAAGUUCAAGCAAGAAUCUUCACAAGUUUGAUUAAUGAUGGAUGUUGACUUAAAAAAGAAAGUGAUUUUAAUUGCCACAGUCAGAUUCUUGGGGAAUGUCCUGCUCGAGCUUAAUUGUUCAUUCGAGAAAAACACUAGCUUUUCGAAUCAGUCUUCUUUUCGAACCAAAUCAAGCUUAAAAAAAGAAUAUUAUACUAAUGUAUUGUCCAGAUAUUUCAUUUUCAACAGGAAAAAAGUCACCAUUUAACUAAUUAAUCGUACAGGUGCCACCAGCAACAUCUCCGCCCUCCUCAUCAGGGGCUACGCGCAGCGCACCAUCUUCGAGAACCUCGGCGUCGCCGGCCUGUCCUUCGGGAUAUACUGUUGCUCAUGCUCUUAUGACGAAAAAAAUUGCAGUUGUCCAUGGGCCCAACAGAUCGCCCUUUCCGACGUCCGAGUACCAGCACUCCUCAAUCCCUGCAACACUCAAGAAGCUCUUCAACCUCAGUGCGCCCUUCCUCACUAAGCGAGAUG